UUUAUGGAGAGUUUGAUCCUGGCUCAGGAUGAACGCUGGCGGCGUGCCUAAUACAUGCAAGUCGAGCGAACGGACGAGAAGCUUGCUUCUCUGAUGUUAGCGGCGGACGGGUGAGUAACACGUGGAUAACCUACCUAUAAGACUGGGAUAACUUCGGGAAACCGGAGCUAAUACCGGAUAAUAUUUUGAACUGCAUGGUUCAAAAGUGAAAGACGGUCUUGCUGUCACUUAUAGAUGGAUCCGCGCUGCAUUAGCUAGUUGGUAAGGUAACGGCUUACCAAGGCAACGAUGCAUAGCCGACCUGAGAGGGUGAUCGGCCACACUGGAACUGAGACACGGUCCAGACUCCUACGGGAGGCAGCAGUAGGGAAUCUUCCGCAAUGGGCGAAAGCCUGACGGAGCAACGCCGCGUGAGUGAUGAAGGUCUUCGGAUCGUAAAACUCUGUUAUUAGGGAAGAACAUAUGUGUAAGUAACUGUGCACAUCUUGACGGUACCUAAUCAGAAAGCCACGGCUAACUACGUGCCAGCAGCCGCGGUAAUACGUAGGUGGCAAGCGUUAUCCGGAAUUAUUGGGCGUAAAGCGCGCGUAGGCGGUUUUUUAAGUCUGAUGUGAAAGCCCACGGCUCAACCGUGGAGGGUCAUUGGAAACUGGAAAACUUGAGUGCAGAAGAGGAAAGUGGAAUUCCAUGUGUAGCGGUGAAAUGCGCAGAGAUAUGGAGGAACACCAGUGGCGAAGGCGACUUUCUGGUCUGUAACUGACGCUGAUGUGCGAAAGCGUGGGGAUCAAACAGGAUUAGAUACCCUGGUAGUCCACGCCGUAAACGAUGAGUGCUAAGUGUUAGGGGGUUUCCGCCCCUUAGUGCUGCAGCUAACGCAUUAAGCACUCCGCCUGGGGAGUACGACCGCAAGGUUGAAACUCAAAGGAAUUGACGGGGACCCGCACAAGCGGUGGAGCAUGUGGUUUAAUUCGAAGCAACGCGAAGAACCUUACCAAAUCUUGACAUCCUUUGACAACUCUAGAGAUAGAGCCUUCCCCUUCGGGGGACAAAGUGACAGGUGGUGCAUGGUUGUCGUCAGCUCGUGUCGUGAGAUGUUGGGUUAAGUCCCGCAACGAGCGCAACCCUUAAGCUUAGUUGCCAUCAUUAAGUUGGGCACUCUAAGUUGACUGCCGGUGACAAACCGGAGGAAGGUGGGGAUGACGUCAAAUCAUCAUGCCCCUUAUGAUUUGGGCUACACACGUGCUACAAUGGACAAUACAAAGGGCAGCGAAACCGCGAGGUCAAGCAAAUCCCAUAAAGUUGUUCUCAGUUCGGAUUGUAGUCUGCAACUCGACUACAUGAAGCUGGAAUCGCUAGUAAUCGUAGAUCAGCAUGCUACGGUGAAUACGUUCCCGGGUCUUGUACACACCGCCCGUCACACCACGAGAGUUUGUAACACCCGAAGCCGGUGGAGUAACCUUUUAGGAGCUAGCCGUCGAAGGUGGGACAAAUGAUUGGGGUGAAGUCGUAACAAGGUAGCCGUAUCGGAAGGUGCGGCUGGAUCACCUCCUUUCU
rnacentral:rRNA from 1 species